CCUACUGUGUGCAGCAGUGAGGAAUAUUGGUCAAUGGACGAGAGUCUGAACCCGCCCAGUAGCGUGAAGGAUGACUGCCCUAUGGGUUGUACACUUCUUUUAUAUGGGAAUAAAAUGUUCCCCGUGUGGGAUUUUGUAUGUACCAUAUGAAUAAGGAUCUGCUAACUCCUUGCCAGCAGCCGCGGUACUACGGAGGAUCCGAGCGUUAUCCGGAUUUAUUGUGUUUAAAGGGAGCGUCGGUGGAUUGUUAAGUCAGUUGUGAAAGUUUGCGGCUCAACCGUAAAAUUGCAGUUGAAACUGGCAGUCUUGAGUACAGUAGAGGUGGGCGGAAUUCGUGGUGUAGCGGGGAAAUGCUUAGAUAUCACGAAGAACUCCGAUUGCGAAGGCAGCUCACUGGACUGCAACUGACACUGAGGCUCGAAAGUGUGGGUAUCAAACAGGAUUAGAUACCCUUGUAGGC
rnacentral:rRNA from 1 species